CUGAGCUGCCUAAAGCUGAGAAGUGGAGACGACAGAUCAUUGGAGAGAUCUCUAAAAAAGUGGCUCAGAUUCAGAAUGCUGGUUUAGGUGAAUUUCGAAUUCGUGACCUGAAUGAUGAAAUUAACAAGCUGCUAAGGGAGAAAGGACACUGGGAGGUCCGGAUAAAGGAGCUGGGAGGUCCUGAUUAUGGAAAAGUCGGCCCUAAAAUGCUGGAUCAUGAAGGAAAAGAAGUCCCAGGAAACCGAGGUUACAAGUACUUUGGAGCAGCAAAAGAUUUGCCUGGUGUUAGAGAGCUGUUUGAAAAAGAACUCGGACGAGGAAGGCAGCCAGGAGAAAGGAGGGGAUGACGGCCAGCAGAAGUUCAUUGCUCAUGUCCCCGUUCCCUCGCAGCAAGAGAUUGAGGAGGCACUGGUGCGAAGGAAGAAAAUGGAACUCCUCCAGAAGUAUGCAAGCGAGACCCUGCAGGCCCAAAGUGAAGAAGCCAGAAGGCUCCUGGGGUAUUAGGACCCAGCUGGGGCUCUCCUUGGAGUUCUUCCAUCCCUGAGUGGUACCUCAGGACCCAGGGCUGCAGACAGGCAGGCUGGUGCUGCAAGGGCUCCUGCCCCAUUCUCAGCCUUCCUUCCCUCUCGUCUCAUGUUGACCGGAGGGUAGGGGUCUGUCCCUGGUCUUCCUGGUAGGUUUUGUACACAUAUUUUGCUACUGUGUGGAUCCAUUUAUUUUUAUUGUGGAGUGUAUACAACAGGUUGCGAACUGGCUGCCUGUGGCUUAUUUUGACUUGCACUGCGAUUUUGAGGGGAGAAGAAUCAAUUAGUGGCAAACAUUUAAAAAUGCAAUUUUUUGCAGACCAAAGUAUAAUUUUAAAAAAUGCAAAUUUUCUAAAAGACACAUCUCUUAAAAAAUGAGAUGAUGUGGCGAGGCACAGUGGCUCACACCUGUAACCCCAGCACUUUGGGAGGCCGAGGCGGGCGGGUCACGAGGCCAAGAGAUCAAGACCAUCCUGACCAACAUGGUGAAACCCCAUGUCUACUAAAAAUACAAAAAAAUUAGCUGGGCGUAGUGGCAUGCACCUGUAGUCCCAGCUGCUUGGGAGGCUGAGGCAGGAGAAUCACUUGAACCUGGGAGGUGGAGGUUGAAGUGAGCCGAGAUCGUGCCACUGCACUCCAGCCUGGCGACAGAGUGAGACUCUGUCCC
rnacentral:sRNA from 1 species